rnacentral:lncRNA from 1 species
AUAUCAUAUUUGUAUUUGGAAGAUGGAAGAUUAAAAAAAAAUGUUGCCUCUGGCACUUGACAGUUACCAAGUUCAGUGGUCCCAUGAAAAAGCACUGCCAUACAGAGAGAAGUUGGCAGAGUCCAACCUUCCAUGCUGACAGCUGUCGGUAAGAUAAUACUGCCUCCUGGAUCAAAUGAAAACAUAAGUAUCAGCUUUUUGCCAGAAUCACAGCAAAAGAAGAAGGAUAUGGGAAAAAUAAAUACUACAAUGGGUUCUGCUGCUGCUAACAAUUGUCCAUCCAGUCACAGAGAAUAAGCCUUAAAGCCCAUUAAUCUGUGAGUGACCUGACUCAGAGUUCACUGGAACCCAGGGGAAUCUUCCAAUGGUUUCAUUGGUAUGUAUAGAUAAUAAGCACUUUUUAAAAACAGUAGAUUAAUUUUGCCAAAAGGGAUUCUGUGAGGUGUCAGCUAUGAAAGCUGCCAUCAAGCAUUGUUAUGACACUUACAAGGACAAAGUAAUAAGCUUUGAAAAUUACAUCAUUUACAAUAGAUUAUUUACUUUUGGCUGUCACUAAUGAAAGAUUUAGAGCUCUGCCCAAGUUAUUUUGCAGAAGAACAUUAGGGGUUAUGAACUUAAAAGAACCUGUUUUAUUAGCAGGCUAAUAAGAGAUGUACUGUCAUGUGCUGUAAUGUUUUCCUUGCAGGUAAAGCCUCUACUUUGCUGACAGCAUUAUAUUGAGGAAAAAUAAAUCUAGCUACUGAAGAGGUUUUCUAAGAUGU